UACGAACCACACAACCGUUAUUCGGAAUUACUGGGCUUAAAGGGUGCGUAGGCGGCGCGGAAAGUUGGGUGUGAAAUCCCUCGGCUCAACCGAGGAACUGCGUCUGAUACUGGGAGGCUAGAGUAUGGGAGAGGGAUGUAGAAUUCCAGGUGUAGCGGUGAAAUGCGUAGAUAUCUGGAGGAACACCUGUGGCGAAAGCGGCUCACUGGACCACAACUGACGCUGAGGCGCGAAAGCUAGGGGAGCAAACAGG
rnacentral:rRNA from 1 species